AGAGUUUGAUCAUGGCUCAGAGUGAACGCUGGCGGCGUGCCUAACACAUGCAAGUCGAACGAGAACGGAUAUAAGUUUACUUAUAUUGUCAGCUAAGUGGCGCACGGGUGAGUAAUAUAUAGUUAAUCUGCCCUGAAGAAGAGAAUAAUUGUUGGAAACGACUUGUAAUGCUCUAUAUGCCUUUAUCACAUAAGUGAGCAAGGGAAAUAUUUAUAGCUUCGGGAUGAGACUGUACGGUAUCAGCUAGUUGGUGAGGUAAUGGCUCACCAAGGCUAUGACAUCUAACUGGUUUGAGAGGAUGAUCAGUCACACUGGAACUGAGACACGGUCCAGACUCCUACGGGAGGCAGCAGUGGGGAAUAUUGCACAAUGGAGGGAACUCUGAUGCAGCAACGCCGCGUGGAGGAUGACACAUUUCGGUGCGUAAACUCCUUUUAUAUGAGAAGAUAAUGACGGUAUCAUAUGAAUAAGCACCGGCUAACUCCGUGCCAGCAGCCGCGGUAAUACGGGGGGUGCAAGCGUUACUCGGAAUCACUGGGCGUAAAGAGCAUGUAGGCUGUAGAUUAAGUUGGAAGUGAAAUCCUAUGGCUCAA
rnacentral:rRNA from 1 species